GACGUAGGAUGCAAGCGUUGUCCGGAAUUAUUGGGCGUAAAGAGUUCGUAGGCGGUUGGCUAAGUCUGAUGUUAAAGGCCUGAGCUCAACUCGGGUAUGGCAUUGGAAACUGGGUGGCUAGAGUGUGGUAGAGGUAUCGGGAAUUCCUGGUGUAGCGGUGAAAUGCGUAGAUAUCGGGAGGAACACCUAUGGCGAAGGCAGCUCGCUGGGACGUUACUGACGCUGAGACGCGAAAGCGUGGGGAGCAAACAGG
rnacentral:rRNA from 1 species